AGUAAACGCAGUCAUGCGUCCGCUGCAACCACUAUACACAAGCCAUGUUGUUAAUUUGUGAUGAUCAUGUAAAAUAUGGAGAAAAAGUCGUUUUACCGUGUCAAGGCAGUCAGCGUCCGCUAUAUUUUCACUGCGGGCCUUCAAGGGUUUUAUUUCUACGUCUUGCUGCUUCAUCUGAUUAACGAGACUGACAACAUCUGGACUGUUGUUUAUGCUUUAAACCAUGCAGUUUAAAGUCAAAAGGUUAUCAAGCUCGCUGUUUAUCGCUGCAAGCCAAGAAAAUACAUACAAUUGUCAAGAACCGAGUAUUCCCCGUCGAAAUGGGCGGUCUGGAAAUGCAAUUUUAAGAUUUACAUAUUUCUCCCUUUUAGUUUGUACUAUACUCUUUCUGAUGGUGCCUAUAAAACCAAGGAAAUAUAAUAGAAAAGGCUCCACAAAAGUUGGCAAUGAACCUACCGUGCCAAUAACUUCCGAUUUCGACAACGUAACUUCCGUUUCUAAGUCGACGGCGAGGAACCACACAGCUAUCUUCUCGGCGAAAAACGUCACCGAAGCUUACAAAGGACCAUUCCGCAACGCUGUUCCCAGAAAAGAAGCCACAACCGGACAGCCGAGGUCAGCGACGUCGACUACCAGCCUCUCCGGGCCUGUUAUCCUUAACGCCACAGGCACCUCGACCGUUCCUCGUAUCCUCCUGGUGGCCUAUUUCCGAUCUGGCUCUUCGUUUCUAGGCGCGGCGUUGUCCCAGAAUCCACUCACCUUUUAUCACUUUGAACCACUGUCUGUCCUUCAUAACGACCACACUAAACCACCACAAAUUACUUCCCUGAGUUACAAAACUAUACAAAACAUUUUCCGCUGCGACUUUGAACAUGUCCCAGAGUACAUUAAACAAGCAAAAUCUUUUGGCCAUCAUUUCGCUCGAAACAGAGUAUUGUGGUCCCGCUGUAGAGGUCACAUCAAUGUCUGCUUUCGCCCUGAAAUUAUAUCCACUGUAUGCAACAUGUCUAGAAUGCAGUUGAUGAAGGUUACCUUGUUAAGGCUUCGUGAUGUACGGGAGUUGAUCAGAAACUACGAUGAUCUUGGACGGAGUAUCAAAAUCAUACACCUCGUCAGAGACCCAAGAGGUAUAUGGGCUUCCAGGCUGCGCGAGACAUGGUGUACGUACGAAAUGGGGUGCAAGGACAUUCGGACACUCUGCCAAGAAAUGAGAGACGAUAUUGACACGUUUGACGAACUUAAGAUAAUUCUUCAGAGUCGGAUAACACGAGUUCGGUACGAGGACAUUGCUCUAAAUCCGGAGUCGGGCAUGAAAGGUCUUCUAAGUCGUCUCGGUCUAAGUUUCACAGGGCAUGUCUCCAGGUUUCUUAAAACGCACGCGUUUGCCUCCGAUACAAAGACAAACAAUUCAUUUUCAAUACGAAGAAAUUCAAACAGAACGGCUUUCCGUUGGACCCAAUCGCUCGAUUAUCGUGACGUGGUCAAAAUUCAGGAGGCGUGUCCUGACGUAUUCCGUAGUCUGGGGUACCCAAUCGCCCACAGCGCAGAGCAGUUGAGAACGGAAAUUGAGAAAGCCUUUAGAACACGUAGUGAUCGAGACGGUAUGAGAUAGAUUCGACUGCAGUACUGCACUUCGUUUCACGUCAAGCCCAAACACCACCGACCCUACGAGCAGAUGGAGCUUAUGAAGCAGUGUCAAAAGCGCCAGUCACUCGACCUUCCCUGUACAUGAUUGGUUCAGCGUUUACAGAACGCGUACAGAAACACGAUGACGAUCAUGUUGGUGCACUCUUAAUGCUGCACGAUUGGUCUCAUCAGUUCGUAGCGUCGGCUGUGUCUGAACUUCAGGUAAAACGAAGAGUGGGUAGAACCAACUUCCAGCCGGCAGCACAUUGUUUCUUAGACGACUAUGUAAAAGAAUGAAUGAAUCGAAUGAAUCCGGUAUUUUACUUCGUUUCACGUUAAGUUUAGACCCAACCAACGCUACGAGUUGAUGGGACUCAUCAGACAGCGUCAAAAACGCACCAUCAUGGGGUUCGUCAUGUUUAUGCAUACCUGCUUUAUCAUCACUGAACCAAUCAAAACAAAAGGUCCAGUGGCUUGCGCUUUUAACGCUCCGUGAUUGGUCCCAUUAUAUCAUUGCGUGGGCUAAAACUGAAACAAAGUAUAGGCUCUAUAGUCGGUGAUAGGUUAUGAGCAAGGUGGAAGCUCCUCCCACCUCGUUCCAUUUUAGCAGAGCGAAGUCUGGGGAGGAAGCGACCUCCUCUCCAGCCUUCGCUCUGCUAAUGUGGAAAGAGGUGGGAGGAACUUCUAAUGUACUCAUAAUCUAUCUCUAAUUAUAGUGUGUCUAUAACAUCGUCCUCGGCUUAGAUUUCGCUGUGCGAAAGUAAUUUGACAAAGAGAAAUAAAGAAGCCACGGAAUUUUUUUAAUUCCUUUUUGACGGAGUGGAAGUCUAUACGCUUGAUCGAACAUCACAUUACGAAACUAUUUUUUUUAAACGGUGUGGUACUUUCACAUAGUUUUUGAGAACGGCGUGGAGCUACUAAUUGACAUGAAGUUGCAAUCGAUUCUAGACACUGUAAAUUACUAGAAAUUGGGGCACCUUUGUAUGGCUCAUUAAACUGCUCCGGCAAAAAUUGUUAAAUAAAAUUGUUCUUUACAAAAGCAUAUGGUUCCCCGGAAAAGGGAGUUUUUUUCUUGUUAGUAAAAGCUUCUGAAAUCAAGUAGUCGAGCACUUUGUGAUGAUAAUCGGAUAAUAAAACGAAAUAAAAAGAGCAUGCAGUCAAGGCGAUCAGAAAAGGAAAUAUCAAGUAUUGAGCAAAUCGACCCGGAACCCUAUUAUAUCUAAUUCAUGUGAGCAUCAGAAAGUAAAAGUGGACUAUUUUAUGGUGAAAACGAUUGAAAACACCUCUGAAAACACAUCCACAAAGUGGGAACAAAAAAGUAAAAGGGCAGCGACUUUUAUUUUUGAAAACCUAGAAUGCAUGAAAUGCAUUAUUUAUGGGGCGAUCAUUUGAAUGUGUUUAAGAGACAUUAAGCGGCCGUAUUAUUGAGUGACAAAGAAACCUAUAUUUUUUUAAAUAAAUGUCCUUGCUAAGUUUACGGGGAUAAUGAAUCGGUGUACAGGGCGGGUGUCGUCAAGUCAUGUCAGUUACGGACAGACGGACGGACGGACACAAUUUCGGGAAAGGAGGGGGGGGGUCUGUUAGAAAUCAUUUCAGGCUUUAAUAAUCGCGGAGUUGAUGGGGUAUUUGAAUCUCGCAUUUCCGUGUUGCCUUAGAUGCUCCGUAGACAACGGCCUGAGACUCCAUGGCCGCGUGCCCAGAGAAGCCACGUUGUCAUAUUUCCGGCUGGAUGAGAGCGCGGCAAAUGGCACGACUAUUUUCCCUGCAGCAAGUGCAUCAUCAGUUUCUUCAUUGUUUCUUUUUCGGGUAGUUUGUGUCAUCCAUCUCUGCUCGCUAGAAGAGCCUGCAGGUGGGCGGGAAUCACCAUACACCUAAUAUAUAUGAGCAAAUAUGUCUCUUCUCUACAUACGGGCGUUAAAAUAUUUUUAUCUAGAAUAAAUUUCCGUUACACUAAAGCCCGUUGGGAUUGAUCCUUUGCUGAUACUUUGUUCAUUCGUUCCCGCGAAAUCGAAAUUGGGAGUUUCACGCGCCAAACAAACGAAGGACAUCUGGCACGUUCAAGCGGAAUACUGAGGAUGAAUGAAGUUAGACCACUUAGGGGACUUUGGGUGACCAAUGGGAAUCUCGGUUACACGGCCCCUUUACCAAAACAAACCCCCGUCAAGUUGCGGGCCCUUCGGCCGGGAUUCGAACCAGCAUCUGUAGGCCGUCGCUUUUGGAUCCAAACCACCGAUGUGGCGUGUCGUCUCCGCUUGAGUGUGUGAACACCGGUCACUAAAAAUGCGAUGCCUACGUGGAAGGCGGCAAGAACACUUUGAAGGGCACUGAACACUCAAGCAGAAUCAGCCUGUCACGGAAGAAUAAUAUAACAAUGGGAAUUCUCCUGUCCGAGACGCAAUUUCGUACUGAGCCGUUCAGCGAGUCGGGCGAAUGCUGCGUGCACUGAGCGGAAACAAUGCUCCCGACCCCGUGUUCUACGCCUUAUCGAAAUACUGUAGAGCAAGCUGCCUAUUCUAAUGUCAAAAUGCUAGUGUGCUCGGAGCUGAGAACAGUAGAGUUCGUUCGGAGCUUGUUCACCUCCGUAAAAACGUCACGGACAAGAUGCCGCUAUCGUCAUUGUAACCACCCGUGUACGGAGAGACAAUACAGAGUUUUAGUAUAUCGUUCAGAUACUUCCGAUACCCGAUAACGAUGCGAUGCACGCGCAAAGGCGACGGCGGAGUACGGGUAUCGUCAUCGGAGUCAUCGAAGCGAUCUUCUAACAUCCACAACUCAGGAACAGGAGGAGAUGAGAGAGCUCGGGACUUCAAAGAACCGAGCUGAGGAUGGAAAGGAGAGGGUAGAGGCACAAAACUAUCGUCUCUGAUUACCUGCAACAUCUCUGACGACCCGCAGUUCAACGAUGACUCGCUCUGGUUUCGCGUGCAUAUAGUUAAUCCUUGCGUCACGAUGAAGCUGCCAGAGGGGUUUGUUCCCUAUGAAAGCAUCUACAGGCUUGUCGUGCACGAUGAAUGUAAGCUCAGCGAUUCGGAAGCUUAGUUUCUCCAUUACCGCCAGUACUCCAUCAUUGCCGUUGUUCAACCUGCGCUGUUUUCGAAGCUGCAUUCACCAGACUGGCCGGAACUCUCCGAAGCCUCUUUGGACUUUUCUGGACUUUUCGUGUCUAGUGCAAUGUUGAGCGCGCGUUCUAGACAUUGGGCGUCGCCAACGGAAAAAAGCGGGCGGGAAUCACAGAUGCGAGCCUUGGAAUGUGUGCGUGCGUAUAUUACAAUAUUGAAGUGUGGAAAAUAUUGUGUAGCAAAUGUAAAUAAAAGUUGAAACGUU
rnacentral:misc_RNA from 1 species